CAGCCUCCCAAAGUGCCGGGAUUACAGGCGUGAACCACCACACCCAGCCCACCCUACAUCUUUCUCCCGUGCUGGAUGCUUCCUGCCCUCAAACAUCAGACUCCAAGUUCUUCAGUUUAGGGACUCAGACUGGUUUUCCUUGCUCCUCAGCUUGCAGACAGCCUAUUGUGGGACCUUGUGAUUGUGUAAGUUAAUACUUAAUAAACUACUAUAUAUAUAUACUAUUAGUUCUAUCCCUCUAAGAGAACCCUGACUAAUAUAGGGUCUUUUGUUUCUUUGAAGACAGGGUCUAAUUCUGAUUGCCCAGGCUGGAGUGCAAUGGUGCAAUCUCGACUCAGUUCCUCGAGUUCCCAGGCUCAGGUGAUUCUCCCAUCUCAGCUCCCCAAGUAGCUGGGACUACAAGUGUGUGCCCCGACACCUGGCUAAUUUUUUGUAUUUCUUUUUUCAGUAGAGGCAGAGUUGCGCUAUGUUGCCUAGGUUGGUCUCAAACUCCUGGACUCAAGCAAUCCGCCCGCCUCCGCCACUCAGAGUGCUGGAAUUACAACUGUAAGCCACCGUGCCUGGCCUCAGGUUUUAAUUUUUUAUCUCCUUCACUAGUUUUCACUAAACUAGAAAAAGGCCACCUUUUCUAGUUUAUCUUUAAUGGGCCCAAUUAUUCCCUCAUAUUUAAGCCCUUCAUGUAUUAGUUUUUGUUGUUUUUUUUUUUGAGACAGAGUCUCACUCUGUUGCCCAGGCUGGAGUGCAGUGGCAUGAUCUCGGCUCACUGCAACCUCCACCUCCCAGGUUCAAGUGAUUCUCCCAACUCAGCCUCCCGAGUAGCUGGUAUUAAAGGCUCCUGCCACCACGCCCGGCUAAUUUUUGUGUUUUUAGUAGAAACGGGGUUUCAUCAUGUUGGCCAGGCUGGUCUCAAACUCCUGACCUCAGGUAACCCACCUGCCUCAGCCUCCCAAAGUGCUGGGAUUACAGGCGUGAGCCACCACGCCCGGCCUCAUGUAUUACUUCUAUAUCUCAAACAGGAUCUAUACUUUCUUUAACAUGCAUGAUAUCAUUAUCUUUGGAAGCAAGUGUUAGAGGGAAGAUUCCAUCACAGGCACUGAUUUGAGAUAAAAAAGCGUCUCCACGGCCGAAAUCAACUCCUCUCACAAAGCCAGCAAUAUUCACUACAUCUAGAAAGGCAGAAAUUUUGCGUGCUAGUUUGUGGUCCUGACAAAGAAAGUCAAAUCUUUCAUCUGGCACAGGUACUCUCCUCUAGUUAGAAUCAACAGUUUAGAAUAGGAAGUUUACUGCUGAAGUCUGACUACUGGUUAAUACAGUGAAGAUGGCAGAUUUCCAAACAUUUGGCAAUCCAGCAACACUAAUUUUCAGUGAGAUUCCAAAUCUUCCAAUAAUUGGGAGUGGUUUAAUUCCAUCACCUCCCUUUUUGGGGGUCAUCAUCCUUGGGGUGGGCAAUGAUAUGGGGUAUCAGUGUCAGCGAGGGACAGGUCCUGCUGGCAGUCAGAGGUAGACAGGAAGGAAGAGAGAGCAGGCCUGGCCCCUCUGCUAAGUGGCAUGCUGAGCAGUAGUCUAUUUUAGGUCAAUUUUUGUUCUUUAAUUUUUUUCAAGAUAAUUUCUUUUCUUUACUUUUCUUUUUUUUGAAACAGAGUCUUGCUCUGUUGCCCAGGCUGGAGUAAGUGGUGCAAACUUGGCUCACUGCAACCUCCAGGUCCUGGGUUCAAGCGAUU
rnacentral:lncRNA from 1 species